rnacentral:rRNA from 1 species
GUCGUAACAAGGUUUCCGUAGGUGAACCUGCGGAAGGAUCAUUCAUGAAUCAGGCUUUAAGCCUGCUCAUUUUUACCCUGUGAAAUAUAUUUUCUGGUUGGAGGUUUUACCUGCACUGGUUAAAAUUUAGACCUGCCUAGGCGGGUUUAGGUCUUAAUCAGAACCUAAGUGUACCUCGAGUGCCCUAGGGUUGGUUACCUUAAUUUAGCCUGGUAUUUUUUACCUAGCUUGCCAGCCAAACUACUAGGUUGUAGGAACGUCUCUACUACGACCCAGGCAGGCAAGUUACCUGAACGCCUUUAGGGCUGAUUUGACUGCCUCCAGGAUGAACGUCUCUAGUCCUGGGUUAUACCUAAUGUCAUUAUGUCUAAGGUCUAGAUAAAAGUAAAACUUUUAGCAACGGAUCUCUAGGCUCUCAUUUCGAUGAAGAACGCAGCAAAAUGCGAUAAGUAGUGUGGAUUGCUGAUUCUCGUGAAUCAUUGAAUCUUUGAACGCCAAGUGCACUUCCUGGUAUUCCAGGGAGUAUGCCUGUUUCAGUGUCUAUAAAAUCUCACCUACGUGUGGUUAUGAGGUCGCCUGCUUUGGCUUCUUUAAAAUAUUAGGAUCUAUGGGUUUAAUCUCCUUACCUUUUAGGUGGAAUUAACCUGGAUAAUGCUACCCUAGGCAAGUCUGCCUAGUCCUUUUUUUACGACCUGAAAUCAAGCAAGAGUACCCGCUGAACUUAAGCAUAUUAAUAAGCGUAGGAAAAGAAACUAACAAGGAUUCCCUUAGUAGCGGCGAGCGAAACGGGAAUAGCUCAAAUUUAAAAUCAACCUUGUGUUGAAUUGUAGUUUGUAGAGGUGUUUUCACUAGGAGUGGUUGGUUCAAGUCCCUUGGAACAGGGUGCCAGAGAGGGUGAUAGCCCCUUUAUUCCAACCUACCCUAACUUGAUACACUUUCAAAGAGUCGGGUUGUUUGGGAAUGCAACCCUAAAUGGGUGGUAAAUUUCAUCUAAAGCUAAAUAUAAAUGAGAGCCCGAUAGCAAACAAGUACCGUGAGGGAAAGAUGAAAAGAACUUUGAAAAGAGAGUUCAAUAGUACGUGAAAUUGCUAAAAGGGAAACACUGGAAACCAGUGUAGUUAAGGCCUAUUCAGCCUGGCAGUAUGCCUGGUGUAUUUGGGUCUAACAGGUCAACAUCAUUUUUGGGGGCUAGAAAAGUGCAAAGGCAGGUAGUUGGGCAACCAGCUUUAAGCCUAGUAUCAUCUGGCCCCUGGGAGUGAGGCCUGCAAUGGAAAUUUGGGAUUCUCGGGUCCUUGUGGGAGAACUUCUUACUACUGCAUGCAGAAGUGGGAUGUUUUUCUGCCUGUUGCCCUGGAUUACCUCAUCCAUUACGGAUGUUGACAAAAUGGUUUUCAAUGAC